CGGGCAGUAGCUCAGUGGUAGGGCUCCAGCUUGGUAUGCGGGAAGACUUGGGUUCGGGUCCCGGCUGCUUAC
rnacentral:tRNA from 1 species